CGGGGGGGCAAGCGUUGUUCGGAAUUACUGGGCGUAAAGGGCUCGUAGGCGGCCAACUAAGUCGGACGUGAAAUCCCCAGGCUCAACCUGGGAACUGCGUCCGAUACUGGAUGGCUUGAAUCCGGGAGAGGGAUGCAGAAUUCCAGGUGUAGCGGUGAAAUGCGUAGAUAUCUGGAGGAAUACCGGUGGCGAAGGCGGCAUCCUGGACCGGCAUUGACGCUGAGGAGCGAAAGCCAGGGGAGCAAACGGGAUUAGAUACCCCGGUAGUCCUGGCCCUAAACGAUGAAUGCUUGGUGUAACGGGUAUCGAUCCCUGUUGUGCCGAAGCUAACGCAUUAAGCAUUCCGCCUGGGGAUACGGUCGCAAGGCUG
rnacentral:rRNA from 1 species